rnacentral:rRNA from 1 species
UGGGGAAUAUUGCGCAAUGGGCGAAAGCCUGCCGCAGCGACGCCGCGUGUGGGAUGAAGGUUUUCGGAUUGUAAACCUCUGUCAGAAGGGAAGAAACCGCACUGUGCUAAUCAGCAGUGCCUUGACGGUACCUUCAAAGGAAGCACCGGCUAACUUCGUGCCAGCAGCCGCGGUAAUACGGAGGGUGCAAGCGUUAAUCGGAAUUACUGGGCGUAAAGCGCACGUAGGCUGCUUGUAAGUCAGGGGUGAAAUCCCACGGCUCAACCGUGGAGCUGCCUUUGAUACUGCUUAGCUUGAAUCCGGGAGAGGGUGGCGGGAUUCCAGGUGUAGGAGUGAAAUCCGUAGAUAUCUGGAGGAACAUCAGUGGCGAAGACGGCAACCUGGACCGGUAUUGACGCUGAGGUGCGAAAACGUGGGGAGCAAACAGG